rnacentral:misc_RNA from 1 species
GAUGAAGAACGCAGCGAAAUGCGAUAAGUAAUGUGAAUUGCAGAAUUCAGUGAAUCAUCGAAUCUUUGAACGCACAUUGCGCCCGCUGGUAUCCCGAGGGGCAUGCCUGUUCGAGCGUCAUUUCACCACUCAAGCCUGGCUUGGUGUUGGGCGACGUCCCCUUUGGGGACGCGCCUCGAAACGCUCGGCGGCGUGGCACCGGCUUUAAGCGUAGCAGAAUCUUUCGCUUUGGAAGUCGGGGCCCCGUCUGCCGGAAGACCUACUCGCAAGGUUGACCUCGGAUCAGGCAGGGAUACCCGCUGAACUUAAGCAUAUCAAUAAGCGGAGGA